rfam:Selaginella moellendorffii unplaced genomic scaffold SELMOscaffold_71, whole genome shotgun sequence.
GCCUCUAUAGCUCAGUGGCAGAGCGUCAGUCUUGUAAACUGAAGGCCUGGAGUUCGAUCCUCCAUUGAGGCA